GACGAACGCUGGCGGCGUGCUUAACACAUGCAAGUCGAACGGAAAGGCCCUGCUUUUGUGGGGUGCUCGAGUGGCGAACGGGCGAGUAACACGUGAGUAACCUGCCCUUGACUUUGGGAUAACUUCAGGAAACUGGGGCUAAUACCGGAUAGGAGCUCCUGCGGCAUGGUGGGGGUUGGAAAGUUUCGGCGGUUGGGGAUGGACUCGCGGCUUAUCAGCUUGUUGGUGGGGUAGUGGCUUACCAAGGCUUUGACGGGUAGCCGGCCUGAGAGGGUGACCGGCCACAUUGGGACUGAGAUACGGCCCAGACUCCUACGGGAGGCAGCAGUGGGGAAUAUUGCACAAUGGGCGGAAGCCUGAUGCAGCAACGCCGCGUGCGGGAUGACGGCCUUCGGGUUGUAAACCGCUUUCGCCUGUGACGAAGCGUGAGUGACGGUAAUGGGUAAAGAAGCACCGGCUAACUACGUG
rnacentral:rRNA from 1 species